rnacentral:rRNA from 1 species
UAGGGAAUAUUGGGCAAUGGGUGAGAGCCUGACCCAGCCAUGCCGCGCGUAGGAAGACGGCCCUACGGGUUGUAAACUACUUUUAUAUAGGAACAAAAACAGGGAUGCGUCCUUGACUGAGGGUACUAUAUGAAUAAGCACCGGCUAACUCCGUGCCAGCAGCCGCGGUAAUACGGAGGGUGCAAGCGUUGUCCGGAUUUAUUGGGUUUAAAGGGUACGUAGGCGGACUAUUAAGUCUGAGGUGAAAGCUUUCGGCUCAACCGGAAAAUUGCCUUGGAUACUGGUAGUCUUGAGUACAGUAGAGGUGGGCGGAAUUCAUGGUGUAGCGGUGAAAUGCAUAGAUACCAUGAGGAACACCGAUAGGGAAGCCAGCUCACUGGACUGUCACUGACGCUGAGGUACGAAAGCGUGGGGAGCGAACAGGAUUAGAUACCCCCGUAGUCC